rnacentral:tRNA from 1 species
GCCUCGGUAGCUCAGUGGAUAGAGCGAGUGCCUCCUAAGCGCUAGGUCGCCGGUUCGAUUCCGGCCCGGGGCACCA